rnacentral:snRNA from 1 species
AUCACUUCUCGGCCUUUCGGCUAAGAUCAAGUG